AUUGAACGCUGGCGGCAGGCCUAACACAUGCAAGUCGAACGAGUGGCGGACGGGUGAGUAAUGUCUGGGAAACUGCCCGAUGGAGGGGGAUAACUACUGGAAACGGUAGCUAAUACCGCAUACCAUCAGAUGUGCCCAGAUGGGAUUAGCUAGUAGGUGGGGUACAGGCUCACCAAGGCGACGAUCCCUAGCUGGUCUGAGAGGAUGCUCAGCCAAACUGGAACUGAGCAACGGGCCAGAGUCCUACGGAAGGCAGCAGUGGGGAAUAUUGCACAAUGGGGGCAAGCCUGAGGCAGCCAUGCCGCGUGUAUGAAGAAGGCCUGCGGGUUGUAAAGUACUUUCAGCGGGGAGGCGUUACCCGCAGAAGAAGCACCGGCUAACUCCGUGCCAGCAGCCGCGGUAAUUC
rnacentral:rRNA from 1 species